AUUCCAGCUCCAAUAGCGUAUAUUAAGGUUGUUGCGGUUAAAAAGCUCGUAGUUGGAUUUCUGUCAAAGGUAAGGCGGUCCAUCUUAUGGAUGUGCAUCUGCCUAUGCCUUGGCAUCCUCAUGAAGGACGUUUUCGCGCUUCACUGCGUGUUUACGGUAUUCAUGACUUUUACUUUGAGGAAAUUAGAGUGUUCACGGCAGGCAAUCGCUUUGGAUACAUUAGCAUGGAAUAAUACUAUAGGACCUCGGUUCUAUUUUGUUGGUUUCUAGAGCUGAGGUAAUGAUUAAUAGGGAUAAUUGGGGGUCUUUGUAUUGCAACGUCAGAGGUGAAAUUCUUGGAUUGUUGCACGACAAACUACUGCGAAAGCAUUGACCAAGGAUGUUUUCAUCG
rnacentral:rRNA from 1 species